UGGGGAAUAUUGCACAAUGGAGGAAACUCUGAUGCAGCGACGCCGCGUGAGUGAAGAAGGUCUUCGGAUCGUAAAACUCUGUCCUUGGUGAAGAAAAAAUGACGGUAGCCAAGGAGGAAGCCCCGGCUAACUACGUGCCAGCAGCCGCGGUAAUACGUAGGGGGCGAGCGUUGUUCGGAUUUACUGGGCGUAAAGGGUGAGUAGGCGGUUAUAUGUGUCAGAUGUAAAAGGCUAUGGCUUAACCAUAGUUAGCAUUUGAAACUGUAUGACUUGAGUGCAGGAGAGGUAAGUGGAAUUCCUAGUGUAGCGGUGAAAUGCGUAGAUAUUAGGAGGAACACCAGUGGCGAAGGCGACUUACUGGACUGUAACUGACGCUGAGUCACGAAAGCGUGGGUAGCAAACAGGAUUAGAUACCCUGGUAGUCCACGCUGUAAACGAUGAGUGCUAGGUGUUGGCCAGCGAUGGUCAGUGCCGCAGUAAACACAUUAAGCACUCCGCCUGGGGAGUACGGUCGCAAGACUG
rnacentral:rRNA from 1 species